rnacentral:tRNA from 1 species
UGGUUCAAAUGGUAGAAUGUCUGUCUCAAAAACACAAACCCCUGGGUUCAAAUCCCAA